rnacentral:rRNA from 1 species
CAGCCGCCGCGGUAAUACGGAGGGUGCAAGCGUUAAUCGGAAUUACUGGGCGUAAAGCGCACGCAGGCGGUCUGUCAAGUCAGAUGUGAAAUCCGGGCUUAACCUGGGAACUGCAGUGGAUACUGGGUCACUAGAGUGUGGUAGAGGAUAGUGGAAUUUCCGGUGUAGCAGUGAAAUGCGUAGAGAUCGGAAGGAACAUCUGUGGCGAAGGCGACUAUCUGGGCCAACACUGACACUGAGGCACGAAAGCGUGGGGAGCAAACAGGAUUAGAUACCCCUGUAGUCCCUGUCUCUUAUAACA